rnacentral:rRNA from 1 species
AGGACGAACGCUGGCGGCGUGCUUAACACAUGCAAGUCGAGCGGAAAGGCCCUUCGGGGUACUCGAGCGGCGAACGGGUGAGUAACACGUGAGCAACCUGCCCUCAGCUCUGGGAUAGCUCCGGGAAACCGGAAUUAAUACCGGAUACGACUACGGCCGACAUCGGCUUUGGUGGAAAGGGUUUCCGGCUGAGGAUGGGCUCGCGGCCUAUCAGCUAGUUGGUGGGGUAAUGGCCCACCAAGGCGACGACGGGUA